CUCCCCAGGAUGGGCGUGGCCCUGCGGCCCCGCCCCGCCCCACUGCGCGCUGGCGUCAGGAGGGGGCGGGGCGUGCGCGCUCCCGGCAAGGCCGGCACUUCCGGGUUCCCCGGCCGGAGGCGCGGAGCCGCGACCCCCGGUUCCCCGCCGUCAAGGGAUGCGAGCUGCCCGCCGUGUCAGAUGGCCACCGAAUCGACGGGGAAAACACAGCGCUGGGAAUCCGAAACGACACAAAAAUCAGGAGUAUAAGUACGGGACCAUCUUGCCACAACGUGCUGGGGGUUUCGCAACCCGCUUCGCCCUUGCGUGGUGGCUCUGUUGGCUGCAACGCUGGGGAAAAUCAACCCCAGCUUUACCUGCGGCUCCAGCAAAUUAUAGCCUGGUUCAGGAGCAGGCGACAGGCUAAAAGAAAUUCUCUGUUUGAGCAUUUGAGAAACACGGUCUUGCCAUCAAGGGCGGCGCUGGGAGCGCAGCGGCUGCUCUGCCUCCCCCAGCUGCUCCUGGGCGUCCCGCUCGGUGCCGCGGGGGUGGAACGUGGAGGGGUUCAUCAGUGGCGAUUCUGCUCCAACCCCAUCAGGUGACAUGUGAAGGCAGCGCCCGGCACGGGGAGCGGCGGCAGCAGCUGAGAUGCAUUCGAGUCACGCCGAUGACCCCAAGGAAGCCAUACAGCUGAUCAAGAAGCAACUGGUGAAUGCCAUCAAGGCGUUGCAGAAGCAGUACGUGACCUCGGAUGCUGUUGUAACCAGCGAUGAUGGGAAUGCGAACACCCUCUGCAGCGCCCUGGAAGCUGUCUUUGUGCACGGGCUGAAGGCGAAGCAUAUAAAGGCAGAGAGUGGGGGGAAAGGGAAGAAAGGGGGUCGGGGACCACUUCCCCAGCCGGUCUUCUGGGGGCUGCUGAAGAGCAUCACCCAUCGAAAUACUGUCUCAGAGCUGGAACAACUCAUCUUUAUCAAUACGGACGUUGGCCGCUGCCGAGCCUGGCUGAGGCUGGCUUUGAACGAUGGCCUUGUGGAGUGUUACUUGAAGCUGCUGCUGCGGGAGAAGUCCCGGCUGCCCGAAUACUACCAGGCGACCGCUCUGCUCUUAGAUGCCGAAGAGUGCGAGUUUCUCCUUAGCUACUUGCAGGGCUUAACGUCCUUAACCUUCGAGCUCUCCUAUAAAUCAGCGGUUUUGAACGAGUGGACUAUCACCCCUCUGUCCCUGUCGGGUCUCUGUCCCGUUUCGGAGCUGCUGGAGCCCCUCACGUCCUCGACAUCCGAACCCCGCAGAAAAGCGUCGCUGGGUUCGAUCUCCCAGUCAUCGGGGUCAGAUGAGAUCGAGAUUCAACCCUCCGUCUUACCCAUCAGCAAAGCCAGCAGCAAAAUCAAGCUCACAUCGUCCUCGUUGAGCCUUAACACCACGAGCUCGUCCCAGCUCUCCUCCAGCCUGGGCUCCGACAGCAUCCUCCCAGCUCACUGCGCCCGCAGUCCCGAGCGGAACGAGGAGCCGCUCUCCUGCGACUCCGACCUGGGGACGGCCACCGCCGAGGACCUGGACAGGUCGCUGCAAGAGGUGUUGUCCGAGUUCAGCAAAGCCAAGCCAAGCCCCGAAGCCCUGGAGGGAGGGUUGGUCCCCAGCGUGCUGAGCUGCUCCCCACGGCAGCCCGCCUGCCCCCCGGCUGCAUCACCCAACCCCCCGGCACCGUCCCACGAAGCUCGCCGGCAGCCGCCUCCCAGCGCCGACAGUCCGUGCUCCGCUCGGACGGGCGACUCGGCGACCGCCAGCGGUGGGGAUGGAGAUGCAGCAACGCGAGCCGGCGGCACAGCCGGCAUUUCGGCCACGCGGCUUGGCGGUCCAGCUGGAGGAGAGACAGGCAGAAGCGGCACGGUCAGCGGCAGCGAGGCAAACCAGGCUGUCCGCAGCCCGACGGCUGAAUACUUCCUUUCUCCGCUGCUGGGUUGUCCGAAAAGAAAGAGCUGGAUCUCAGAAGAUGAUUUCUACAGGCCUCCUCCAGGAGAGAGCGGCAAAAGCACAGCUGACAUCAAUGGCUUUGGGCCAGAGGGGGCUGGCGAGGGUCCGGCCCCAGGGCUCAUUAGUGCUCUUGACUUGGAAAGGCUGUCAGUGCCGUCCUCGGAGAGCGGGAAGGCCAAAAUGUCACCUGAACGGGAGCAAAAGGGCUUCAGCGUUGUGCAUCGCAGGCAGAUGGGUCUUUCCAACCCUUUCCGAGGGCUCCUGAAGCUGGGCAGCCUGGAGCGGAGAGGAGCCAUGGGGAUAUGGAAGGAGUUUUCCUGCGAGCUGUCGCCGCUGGAGCUCCAGCUCUUCCUGGACCACGAGGACCGCAUCUGCGUCGAGAGCUAUUCCCUGCUGCGGUGCGAGUCACUGGCACUGACGCACUCCGACGGCCGUUUUGAGCUGGUUUUCCUGGGGAAAAAACUCUACCUACGAGCUCCUUCUCGAGAUGAGGCCGAGGACUGGUUGGACAGGAUCCGCGAGGCGCUGCAGAAGUGCCGGCCUCAGCUGGAGGAGGAGGAGUGGGAGACACUGGAGUAUCCAGAAGACGCUGGCGAAGGCCAGCCCAUCCAGAACAACUCUGCUGCUCUUCUCCAGUACAGCAACGUGCCUGGAAACAGCUUUGACUGGACUCCAGCUCACGAACCGGAGCUGGAUGCAAUAAAGGAGACUGUUCUGUACAUGGACGUAGACAAAACCUGGGUCCCCUAUAUUUUUUCCCUGUCUCUAGAAACUUUAAAGUGCUUUAAAGUCAGAAACAACGAUAAAAUUUUAAGCAACAGUUACGGUAUAGAGACCAUCCAGGACAUCCUUCCGGACACGAGCCUCGGGGGACCCGCGUUCUUCAAGGUGAUCACCUCCAAAGCUGUCCUGAAGCUGCAGGCUGAGAAUGCAGAAGAAGCAGCCUCGUGGAGGGAGCUGGUCCGAGGGGUGCUCAUGGCCUACCUGGAGAGCGCGGAGGAGGCGCUGACGCUGGGUGGCAGCUUGGACGGGCACUCCCAAGUCGUCCUGAAGAACAUCGUGAAGGAGAACGGCUUCUUGUUGCAAUACCUGGUGGCCAUCCCUGUGGAGAAGGGCCUGGACUCGCAGAGCUUCAUCUGUGCAGGCUGCUCCAGGCAGAUCGGCUUCUCCUUCGCGAAGCCCAAGCUCUGCGCCUUCUCCGGUCUCUACUACUGCGACAGCUGCCACCGGGACGAGGAGACGGUGAUUCCCUCACGCCUCAUCCACAACUGGGAUCUGACGAAACGAGGGGUUUGCCAGCAGGCUUUGAAGUUCCUCACCCAGAUCCGUAACCAGCCGCUGAUCGACCUGAAGCUGGUCAACGAGAGCCUCUACGACCACGUGGAGAGGAUGGGACGGAUCCGCCAGAGCAGGGAACAGCUGAAGCUGCUGGGAGAUUAUCUCAUCAUGUGCCGCAGCGGGGCCCUGAAGGAGCUGAGCAAGCGGCUUGAUCACAGGCACUACCUCUUGGAGUGUCCCCACAAAUACAGCGUCACUGAUCUGAGGCAGAUAGCCGACGGCGUCUUUGAGAGCUUCCUGCAGUCUCUGAUCCAGUUUGCUUCCCAUCACGUCUACAACUGCGACCUGUGCACCCAGCGAGGCUUCAUCUGCCAGAUCUGCAACAGCAGCGACAUCAUCUUUCCCUUCGAGUUUGACACUACCACCAGGCAGGGUCCUUGCCUGCCGUGGGGUCAACCGCAGCUGAGCAGGCGCUGAGAUCGGAUGGCUGUGUUAGAAGGAGUGUCUUUAUCCCCACCAUCGGGGCUUUCUGAAGAAAUCAAUAUCAAACCCUUCCAGCCCAGGAGCCUGGUCUGUAGUGGGUGGAGACAUCUCCACAUCUCGAUGGUUAUUUGGUAACGAGUAUAAUCCUGGCAGAGAAGUUGAACAGCCUGAUGGUCUGCGUGGCCUUGCUUUGCCUGGCGGACCCUAAAAGCGAGCAGCAACAUCCAGAAGCUGCAGAAAACACCAGCAAGACCAGGGUCGCCGGCUACCCCGUGCGUUACGUGGUUGCCCAUACUCCCAGGGCAGUUGAGCACGAUUGCUCGCUCUCCCUCCUUGCCGCAGCGACAGCAUCGUGCUUGUUAUCGAGCACAACAUCCCCCGGGGCACCGAUUUUUCCCUUGAAAAAGCGUACAGGCUCUGGAAGGAGCAGGCACGCGGGCUGAGCUCUGCUGGCAGCCAGCUGCAGGUCUCAUGUCCUGUAAAGCCGGGCUCUGAAGUUUGUUGACCUCUUUUUUAUUUUUUUAUUUUUUUUCCUGGCGGAGGAGGUUGUGCAGCAGGAAAGCAGCUCAACCAACAUCCUUGCCAAGCUAAACCCGGCUUCCUGCCCCUCUGCCCGCCCCAGGAGACAGCCAGCUGCUGGGGUCACGCCGUCACUGGCUGCAGGAUGCGUCUGAAAUGCCUCCUAACAAUAAACCCAGCCGGGCGCUCGCUGUUCUCCUUUUCACAGCAGCGGCGGCCCCUUCCUGCAGCCGUUGCUCUGGCAGGUGGAGGCAGGAGAUGCCGCCUUUUGGCUGCCGCUCGCUGAGAAACACGCAGGGUAAAAAACCAGCCCCCGGCUUUGCGAAUCCUCCCGCGCUCGGGGAGGAGCCGCCACCGCUGCUAAUCUGGAGAAGCCGUGUGAAAAUAUACUCCACUGGGAAAAUGCACGGCACCAGGCAGCACGCACACACCCCCCAUCCCGUCACGAGUCUUUUCCGUAUCCUGAGUAACUGGGGGGUUGCAGCCGCUUGUCAGGAGCAGGAUUUGACCCAGGCUGCAAUGUGUCAUGGUCCCUUGCCUGGUGCGCUGCUGGGCGUGUCCCUGCUCCCCUCGCCACUCAUCCUUUGGGAAAUUAAGGUACCCAGUGGUAUGCACACAUCGAUUGUGCAGCAGGUAUUUGCACUUGAGGGCAUUUUAAAAAUAAUCUAGCUGACCCGCUGGCAUGUGGAUGGGCUGCAUUUUGCUGCUGCUGGCGAGCUGGGGCAUCGCAACCAGGGAAAAAACGUGAGCUCAGCCUUCAUAGCACAGACUUUUCUUCUGUUGACUCAAGAUAAGUAGUGAACGCCCCGCGCAGAGCUGGGUGUCUCCUCCCCGCCAGCCCCAUGCAAGGUAUAAUUUCUGGCUGUUUACAUUCCUGCUGCGGCGCUGAGCCAGAGCAGGGAGGUCCCAGGCGGGCGCUGGCGAGACCUCCCCGGAGCCUGCCGGCUCAAAGGCAACGCCAUCCCGGCUGCCCGUCCCCUUCCCUGCGGCUCCGGUGUCCCCACGCAGCGUCCCUGCCACGUGCGGGUCCCGCAGUCAGGGUUGGGGGACUCCUGGCUGCACCCCGGCCCCGGCGAGUGGGGAGGGUCCGCGCCGUGGCACCGCGCUGCAUCCCGGCCCCACCGGCGACGCGUCGCCAGCCGGGCUCUCGCCGCUCUGCACUGUUGCAGGGUUUGGUGUCUCAGCCUCGAAAUGUUGCUCCUGUGCUGUCAGCGCUCUGAAAACAAGGUGCAGCGAAUGCAAAACCGUCUUCCACCGCGACUGCCAAGCCCGUGCCAAGUCGUGCCCCCGCUGCGAGCGCCGGCAGAGGUACCAGCGA